UGUUUUUUGUUGUGCCUUAAUAAACAAGUUUUUUCCACUUCCCCUCUGAAGGAAUUCCUCCCGAACCCGGUGGUGGGGGGGAGGUUGCGGAGGGUUUGGUUUCCUAUAGGGGGCUCCUUUGGAGGUGUUUUCCCCUAAUUUGUCCAAAACCAGGACAAAUAAUUUGGUGGCCCGUACGGGGAGGCCCAGACAAAGUGGAAAAAACUUUAUUCUAAUAAUAUUUUUGGCUUUAACCGUUCUGCGGGAAUAUUGGUAUGUCUUUUUUUAAAGUUAUGAUGUCAUUGGGAGUGAAAGCCUGCCUCUAUUUGUGGUCAUUAGGGUUCUUCGAAGUUUUGAUCGCUUUAUGGUCCCUGGAGUUAUUUUCUUAUCCAGAAGUAGCUCCGACAUCGGACCUACUCCGGGCAGGAGCUCCCCCGGGGUCUGCGAAAGAAGCUGCGUACCCUCUGCGGCGAAGAGAGAUACAGCUCAACCCUCUUGGACUGGUGAAAACAUCUGUGGUCAUCUUGGGCUA